rnacentral:rRNA from 1 species
UACGGAGGGGGCGAGCGUUGUUCGGAAUCAUUGGGCGUAAAGGGCGCGUAGGCGGCCGUCCAAGUCGGGUGUGAAAUCCCUCGGCUCAACCGAGGAACUGCACUCGAUACUGGUCGGCUAGAGUCCGGGAGGGGAUGGUGGAAUUCCCAGUGUAGCGGUGAAAUGCGUAGAUAUUGGGAAGAACACCGGUGGCGAAGGCGGCCAUCUGGACCGGAACUGACGCUGAGACGCGAAAGCGUGGGGAGCAAACAGG